AUUGCACAACAGAUGAUGUCAUUCCAGUGCUUGACACUGGAAUCCAGAAAUUUUGCUUAUAACUGAGCUGAUGAGCUAAAGGUAGUUGUCUUACGCUAAAACAAACGUUUUUAAUUAAGUUGCAUAGAAGCUGGAUCCCAGUGUCAAGCACUGGAAUGACAUCGUUUACUAUGUACCAU
rnacentral:ncRNA from 1 species